AGUGAACGCUGGCGGUAGGCCUAACACAUGCAAGUCGAACGGCAGCACAGUAAGAGCUUGCUCUUACGGGUGGCGAGUGGCGGACGGGUGAGGAAUACAUCGGAAUCUACUUUUUCGUGGGGGAUAACGUAGGGAAACUUACGCUAAUACCGCAUACGACCUACGGGGGAGAGCAGGGGAUCUUCGGACCUUGCGCGAAUGGAUGAGCCGAUGUCGGAUUAGCUAGUUGGCGGGGUAAAGGCCCACCAAGGCGACGAUCCGUAGCUGGUCUGGGAGGAUGAUCAGCCACACUGGAACUGAGACACGGUCCAGACUCCUACGGGAGGCAGCAGUGGGGAAUAUUGGACAAUGGGCGCAAGCCUGGUCCAGCCAUACCGCGUGGGUGAAGAAGGCCUUCGGGUUGUAAAGCCCUUUUGUUGGGAAAGAAAAGCAGCAGGUUAAUACCCCGCUGUUCUGACGGUACCCAAAGAAUAAGCACCGGCUAACUUCGUG
rnacentral:rRNA from 1 species